rnacentral:misc_RNA from 1 species
GCGAGAAUGAAAUCUAGUCUAUAUAUCCCAUGUAUCUAUUCUUCAAAAAAGGUCAUUUCAUGUAACUCUGGGUCAAUAUAUGUUUGAGCCAUUCCAAAUAUCAGUUGCCUCAAGUUAAACUACCUCCUCCCAGAUUCCAGAUCUUCCACGGUUGGACCAGAAUCUCCGGACAAGGAAAUGCCCGUAAAUGUGUUGUUUCUAUGGUUAGGUUGACUUCCUAUUUGAACCUCUGCGUUGCAUGUAUUAUUUCCGUUGGCAUUUUCACCAUUAGAUGUUUCUACAGCUCCCUGGGACUCCUCCAGCAUACGGAAGUAAGCAUAGGUCGCCCAGCCUUGAUCAUUAUAUGGAGGUGGGAAGAACUGCA